UGGCGGACGGGUGAGUAAUGUCUGGGAAACUGCCUGAUGGAGGGGGGUAACUAUGGAAACGGUAGCUAAUACCGCAUAACGUCGCAAGACCAAAGAGGGGGACCUUCGGGCCUCUUGCCAUCGGAUGUGCCCAGAUGGGAUUAGCUAGUAGGUGGGGUAAAGGCUCACCUAGGCGACGAUCCCUAGCUGGUCUGAGAGGAUGACCAGCCACACUGGAACUGAGACACGGUCCAG
rnacentral:rRNA from 1 species